AUAUAAUAAUACACUAAUUAGACUCAAGGAGAAAUCUACUUAAAUUAGAGUGCAUGCCUCACAAUUACUUCCAUUUUUCUUAUUUCACUAAAAUCCAUAUUUUAUUUGAUGCUCUUCUUCCACUAUUCUCGGGCUUCGACGGAAUUUGGAUCUAUGCCUCUUUUACUUUGAAAAUUUACUCUUAAGCAACAUAUUAAAAUAUCAAAAGAUCAAUUAUUUAGCUUAGUUACACCAUUACAAGAAACAACGUAAAAUAUAUUAAUUGAACUUUAAUUUAAAAUAUAGACUAAAAUUUAAUAUUAAAUUUCCUCCAAAAGAUAUUAUUUCCGAAAUUGGGCUAAGUCCCUAUCAUUUUCAGUCCAAAUGAUAAUUUAAUUUGGGAAUUGGGCUUCUCUUCAUUUGUUUAUUGCAGCCACAAUUGUUAAAGGGAGUUGGGCUCAAAUUUAAAUUAUUCCACUCCCUUAACCCAAGUAACUAAUUCAUUAGUCCAACAACAAUAAAAUAAAACCCAUAUAUAAAUACCAUUUCAUCUUCCUCCUUAAUUUACCAUAAGCCUAAAAUGAGAGAGACUCCCCCCUUUCACUUGCUGCUACCGCCGCCGCCAUCCUCAGCGCCACCGUCCGCCGUCGCCGCCUCCGGCGGCGUCUCUCUCCCCCCCCGACUCUUCCUCUCUCUCUUUCUCUCCCCACUCCCUCUUCCUUUCUCGGCCCUGCUCACGCCGCCGCUGCCCCCUCUCUCUCCCGAUCUGCCCGCUGCUGUGCAUGCACAGGCAGCGGCUUCGCCGCUUCUUCUCCGCGCCUCACGCUGCCGGAGCAGCUUCCCGGCGCCACUCCAGCCCCGGCCGCUGCCUUCUCACCGACUCCCGAGAGUGACUUAUCGGGGUGGGGGCUGCCACUGUCGUCUCCGAAGAGCCGUUGCCGGAAACCCGACAGAUUCGUACUCAUGAGAUAAGCUUUCUCAUUCUUUCUAGUUAUUAAGGCAGAAGGAUUCUACUUUGGUUCUACUUACUGAAUUUGGUGACUUAGUGAGUAUAUGCCUUGCUAUUUGGAAGACUCAAUGGUGAAAUAUGUUGUUAAGCUUGUUGUGUAUUGUUAGUGUUAUUUGGGCAGAUUCUAUUUUCAAACUAUAUAUGCAUAUGCUUGUACAUAUAUGAAAGAAAAGAAAGGCUUGGGAUUUACCUUUUGGUGUGAAAAAGUGUUGUUGUAUCGUUGGACUUGACUCUACAAUUGUGUGCAAAUCUCCAUCCUCCAUCCUCCAUCCUCGUACUCCUCUAUUCUUUGUUGUGUUGGUAUGUGUGUGUGAAGAGAAUUUUAGAAUGUUUGAUAGUGAUGUGUGCUUGAAAGUGCAAAGACUUGGGGUUUAUAUACUUGAUGUUCCUUUGCAAGUUGCUAUGCAAAUGGGGGAGCUUAAACUUGGGGAAGGUUUUAACAUGGGGGAGGUUUUACCUUGGGGAGUUUUGCUGCCAAAAAUCUUUUCAAAGAUUGUGUUUGGAUUUGGGGUAAAUCAAUUCUACUCAAUCUACUAUUGGAUUUGAUAUCUUAUUUGUUUACAUGGCAUAAUCUACUCCGUCUAAUCUUGUGAUGAAAUCUUCAAAGGUUAUAUGCAUUAAAUGCACACAACCCACUUGCAAAUUCCUACUUAUAUCUCAUCAUAUCUUAUUCGAUAUAAUACGUGAAUCUUCAUAAAUGAAUGCCUAGGUAAAUCUUUGAGAAAAUCCUCAAAUCCAUAUUGCUACUGUAUAUUUUGAUCUUGGCAUUAAGUCCAAGAUCUUAUAUGAUUUCUACUAAUUUUUCCCAUUUUACGGAGGAACAUUCAUUUGCAGAUGUCGGUGAUGUGUUGGACUUUGUUGGGAUGUGAGCAGUGUCGUCAAAUGGGCUGUCCGAGACUUGCACAUCUUUCGCUUCCGAUUGUAAUAGGCUAGGCUUUGAUUAUUUUGUAAUAUUGGACUUGAGUCAUGUAUCGGAUAUUACAACUUUCUUUGAAUUUAUUCUUUGGAUAGUUAAUGACAA